rnacentral:tRNA from 1 species
GCGAAUGUGGCGGAAUUGGUAGACGCACUGGAUUUAGGUUCCAGCGCCGCAAGGUGUGUGGGUUCGAGUCCCUCCAUUCGCACCA